UACGCAGGGUGCAAGCGUUAAUCGGAAUUACUGGGCGUAAAGCGUGCGCCAGGCGGUGAUGUAAGACAGAUGUGGAAAUCCCCGGGCUCAACCUGGGAACUGCAUUUGUGACUGCAUCGCUGGGAGUGCGGCAGAGGGGGAUGGAAUUCCGCGUGUGAGCAGUGGAAAUGACGUAGAUAUGCGGAGGAACACCGAUGGCGGAAGGCAAUCCCCUGGGCCUGCACUGACGCUCAGUGCACGGAAAGCGUGGGGAGCAAACAG
rnacentral:rRNA from 1 species